rnacentral:rRNA from 1 species
GGAUUAGAUACCCUGGUAGUCCACGCCGUAAACGCUGGGCACUAGGUGUCGGGAGGCUUGGUCCUUUCGGUGCCGCAGCUAACGCAUUAAGUGCCCCGCCUGGGGAUUACGGCCGCAAGGCUGAAACUCAAAGGAAUUGACGGGGGCCCGCACAAGCGGUGGAGCAUGUGGUUUAAUUCGAAGCAACGCGAAGAACCUUACCUGGGCUUGACAUGUCGGUGGUACUCUCUUGGAAACAGGAGGGGACCCUUCGGGGAGCCGUCACAGGUGCUGCAUGGCUGUCGUCAGCUCGUGCCG